rnacentral:rRNA from 1 species
UUACUGCAGUCGACGGUAGAGGGGCACCCUUGAGAGUGGCGAACGGGUGAGUAAUACCUUUGAACGUGCCCAGUCGUGGGGGAUAACGUAGCGAAAGCUACGCUAAUACCGCAUACGACCUGAGGGUGAAAGCGGGGGAUCGCAAGACCUCGCGCGAUUGGAGCGGCCGAUGGCAGAUUAGGUAGUUGGUGGGGUAAAGGCCUACCAAGCCUGCGAUCUGUAGCUGGUCUGAGAGGACGACCAGCCACACUGGGACUGAGACACGGCCCAGACUCCUACGGGAGGCAGCAGUGGGGAAUUUUGGACAAUGGGCGCAAGCCUGAUCCAGCCAUACCGCGUGCGGGAAGAAGGCCUUCGGGUUGUAAACCGCUUUUGUCAGGGAAGAAAUCUUCUGGGCUAAUACCUCGGGAGGAUGACGGUACCUGAAGAAUAAGCACCGGCUAACUACGUGCCAGCAGCCGCGGUAAUACGUAGGGUGCAAGCGUUAAUCGGAAUUACUGGGCGUAAAGCGUGCGCAGGCGGUUCCAUAAGACAGAUGUGAAAUCCCCGGGCUCAACCUGGGAACUGCAUUUGUGACUGUGGGGCUAGAGUACGGUAGAGGGGGAUGGAAUUCCGCGUGUAGCAGUGAAAUGCGUAGAUAUGCGGAGGAACACCAAUGGCGAAGGCAAUCCCCUGGACCUGUACUGACGCUCAUGCACGAAAGCGUGUGGAGCAAACAGGAUUAGAUACCCUGGUAGUCCACGCCCUAAACGAUGUCAACUGGUUGUUGGGAGGGUUUCUUCUCAGUAACGAAGCUAACGCGUGAAGUUGACCGCCUGGGG